UUUCAGGCAACUUAACAACAAAUGAUUAGCACAGACAAAAGAAUUGAAGGAAGGAAGAAGCCGAAUCCUUGGUGAAGGAGACCUCACCUCUUAUUUUGCAAUUUUUGAAUAGAACAAAAAAAAACUAUUUGAUGUGAACUUUUUGGAAUACUUGGCUGCUCCCUCAGUCAACAAGAAGUACAACCACCCUCAAGUUCAUUCCUCCUAGCCAAUGAAAGAGAAAUACUUCUCUGGACCUGAGAAAAAAGAUGGAUUAAAGGGACACAUUUACGCAUUAUUAAAAGAUGGGUCCACAUGAAACCAUCAUUGGGAUGACAUUCAAUAAGGAAGAAAAAAGAAUAAUGAUACAAUCCUAAGGAAUAUCAAUAUUCAUGAAGUUGGGAAGAGAAAUCAGGUAACACAAAGAAAGUGCAAAUCAGAGGAGCAGAUGGACAAAGUAAAGACAAGCAUCAAGAAAGCCAUGGAUGAAGAGUUUUAAGAGGGAAGUGCCCUUUGGAAAGUUCUGGAGGCUGGGAGGUCCAAGAUUAAAGCAACAGAAAAUCUGAUGUCUGGUGAAAACGCCCUCUCUGCUUCCAAGAUGGCGCCUUGUUGCUGUGUCCUCACAGGGCAGAAAAGAUGGAAGAGCAAAAGGGACCAAUGCUCUGUGAAGCCUCUUUUAUAUGGGCAUGAAUCUCAUUCACGAAGGUGGAGCCCUCAUGACCUAAUCACCUUCUAAAAGCCCCAUUGCUAUCUUUUUUUAAAAUUAAUUAAUUAAUUUUUUAUAUCUGUAGGUUAUUGGGGAACAGGUGGUGUAUGGUUACAUGGGUAAGUGCUUUAGUGGUGAUUUGUGAGAUUUGGGUGCACCCAUGACCCAAGCAGUAUACACUGCACCCCAUUUGUAGUCUUUUAUCCCUCCCCUCCUUCCCACCCUUUCUCCCUGAGUCAAGGCCCCACCUCUCAAUACUAUCACACUGGUGAUGAAAUUUCAACAUGUGAAUUUUGGAAGAACACAUUUAGACCACAGCAUCCCUUUAGGAUAGUGGAGAUUUGAACACACUUAUAAACCCCAGGCAAUCUUAGAAACUGGAAAGAAGUAAUCUUACAAAAAAUAAAACAAAGUGUUAGUUUAUACAGAUGUAAUUAAUAAAUAGAGUCCUCCUAAAUGGAUAUUCAUUAAAGAAUCAUUUAAAUAAAUUGAAGUGCUACCAUUUUGCAGGAUUUUUCUUUGGUCAAUGAAUAUGACCAAAUAUUAUAAAAAUAUUUUCUGAGCAUUAGCGGGCUUUGUGUAUUCAAAGUAUUAAUGGGAUGCAACAUCAUGAAAUGUAAGACAAGUUGGCAAGUGUUGAUGUAGUGGGAAGGGUCAUGAAAUUGGAAUCUGGAGACCCAUAUCUGUCACCGACCAAUCAUUUAAGCUCUUCAGAUCCCUAGUCUUCCAUUUCAAGUUGAGGAGAGGAGGUUGGCCAAGAUGGUCUAGUCUUCCCUAGGUAAUUUUUGGGUUUUUUUGUAAUUUUUAUUUUAAGUUCUGGGGUACAUGUGCAAGAUGUACCCCAGAUGUGCAGGUUUGUUACAUAGGUAAACAUGUGCCAUGCUGGUUUGCUGCACCUGUCAACCCAUCAAUCCCUAGGUAUUUUGUAAGGGCUCCUUUCAACUCCAGUAAAUUUGGUUGUUUCUCAAGCUAGAUUUAUCUCAUUCCAAGGUCUAUGGACAUAUUCUCCUGGGUCUUUGAGUUCACAAUGAAAAAUCCUGAAUUUUAUAUUUUCAUUUUAAUAAUAAAGGACUAAAUUUUUGAUAAUAUGAAAGACAAACCCAUGUCUGCUGAUUUCAGCACCUGCAUUUAUUUUUGUAUUUACAAAUGUAUUAAAUACAUGUAGUUUGGCUUUUUGAUAUCCUAAAAGGAUUUCAAGUAAAAUUUAGUAAGUUGGAAAGCUUCUCUAGUUACCUGUGAUUGUUUGUUCUAUUUUCUUUUUCUUUUUUUUUUUUUGAGACAGAGUCUCGCCCUGUCACCCAGGCUGGAAUGCAGUGGUGUGAUCUCGUCUCACUGCAACCUCUGCCUCCUGGGCUCAAGCGAUUCUUCUACCUCAGCCUCCCAAGUAGCUGGGACUGCAGGUGCGUGCCACCAUGCUGGGCUAAUUUUUGUGUUUUUAGUAAAGACAGGGUUUCACCAUGUUGGCCAGGCUGGUCUUGAACUCCUGACCUCAGGUGAUCCGCCUGGCUUGGUCACCCAAAGUGCUGGGAUUACAGACGUAAGCCACCUGCCCAGGCUAGUUUGUUCUAUUUUCAAACUGAUAACCUACAUUCUGGAUCUACCAAUAAAUUUAUGUUGAAUUAUUUCAUCUCAUUAAUGACAAAACUUUAAUUUUACAUCAAUAAUUUUCAACUAAAAGGUGUUUCCAUAAGUUAAGAUUUUCAUUUAUUUCUUUUCUUUUUUUGAGAUGGAGUCUCGCUCUGUCACCCCAGCUGGAGUGCUGUGGUGUGACCUGGGCUCACUGCAAUCUUUGCCUCUCAGGUUCAAGCGAUUCUCCCACCUUAGCCUCCCGAGUAGCUGGGAUUACAGACAUCUGCCACCAUGCCUGGCUCAUUUUUUCUUGUGUUUUUAGUAGAGGCAGGGUUUCACCAUGUUGGCCAGGCUGGUCUUGAACUCCUGGCCUCAAGCGAUCCACUUGCCUUGACCCCCCAGAGUGCUGGGAUUACAGGCACAAGCCACCACACCUGGCCAGGUAAGACUUUCAUUUCUUUCUUUCUUUCUUUUUUUUUUUUUUUUUUUGAGAUAGAGUUUCACUCUCGCUGCCCAGGUUGGAGUGCAAUGGCACAAUCUCAGCUCACCACAACUUCCACCUCCCGGGUUCAAGCGAUUCUCCUGCCUCAGCCUCCCAAGUAGCUGAGAUUACAGGCAUGCACCACCACGCCCAGCUAAUUUUUUUGUAUUUUUAGUAGAGAUGGGGUUUCUCCAUGUUUGUCAGGCUGGUCUCAAACUCCCAACCUCAGGUGAUCUUCCCACCUUGGUCUCCCAAAGAAGACUUUCAUUUCUUAAGUGAUUUAACAUAUUGAUACUUUGACGUGACACCAUGGAAAUAACAUAUGGCAUCAGUCUUCUAGCCUCAAGGGCUAGAAGAAGAUGCUCAGAUCAACCCAAGGUCAAAAGACAUUUUAUUGCUCUGAAGAAACAAAAUCUUUGCAGAAAUUUGAAUGAAAAAAUGCGGUGGCAAAAUGGAGUUUUUACAUUACAAACAAUACUACAGGUGCAUGGAACUGAAAAGAACCUUUGCCAUUAACAUCAGUACCCUUUUCACAUCAAGCGAGAGGUUUCCAUUUUAAUGAAACAACCUGGCUGGGCGCAGUGGCUUAUGCCUGUAAUCAAAGCACUCUGGGAGGCCAAGGCGGAAGUAUCGCUUGAGACCAGGAGUUCAAGACCAGCUUACAUUAAAUUACUUUAUUUGAUUAUUAUUAUUAUUUUGGUUUGUGGUUUGUACUUAAUUUAUAAUUUUAUUUUUAUUUGAUAGUUGUAUAAAAACUAUAGAUAUAAGUAAGGGGUUUGUACAUGGAUUUAUGCUUAUAGAUAUUUAAGUAACAUUUUGAUUAAAUAAUUUAGGUUACCAUGUGUACCUUAUUAAUUUUUUAAGACAUACAUAUGUAAGCCUUGAGAAUCUGGUUUGGAUUAUACAGCUCUAUCUAUUUCUCUAAAUUCUCCUAAGCUAAGAGUGGGGAAGCAGACAGUAUUUGUGGCUGGGGGAUGCUGAUGGCACACAGAAAAGCCUAAAAAUUAUGG
rnacentral:lncRNA from 10 species